UACGUAGGGUGCGAGCGUUAAUCGGAAUUACUGGGCGUAAAGCGUGCGCAGGCGGCGCCGCAAGUCAGGCGUGAAAUCCCCCGAGCUUAACUUGGGGAAUUUGCGCUCGAAAACUAUGGAGCUGGAGUGUGGCAGAGGAAGGUGGAAUUCCACGUGUAGCGGUGAAAAUGCGUAGAGAUGUGGAGGAACACCGAUGGCGAAGGGCAGCCCU
rnacentral:rRNA from 1 species